rnacentral:rRNA from 1 species
CCUACGAGUGGCUGCAGUGGGGAAUAUUGCACAAUGGGGGAAACCCUGAUGCAGCGACGCCGCGUGAGUGAAGAAGUAUUUCGGUAUGUAAAGCUCUAUCAGCAGGGAAGAAAUAAAGUCCUUCGGACUUUGGACGGUACCUGACUAAGAAGCCACGGCUAACUACGUGCCAGCAGCAGGGGUAAUACGUAGGGGGGAAGCGUUAUCCGGAUUUACUGGGGGUAAAGGGAGCGUAGACGGCAGCGCAAGCCGGGAGUGAAAGCCCAUGGCUUAACCAUGGAACUGCUUUGGAGACUGUGCAGCUGGAGGGCAGGAGAGGUAAGCGGAAUUCCUAGUGGAGCGGUGAAAGGCGUAGAGAUUAGGAGGAACACCAGUGGCGAAGGCGGCUUACUGGACUGUAACUGACGUUGAGGCUCGAAAGCGUGGGGAGCAAACAGGAUUAGAUACCCCAGUAGUC